rnacentral:rRNA from 1 species
UACGUAGGGGGCAAGCGUUAUCCGGAUUUACUGGGUGUAAAGGGAGCGUAGGCGGUGAUGCAAGUCAGAAGUGAAAGCCCGCAGCUCAACUGCGGGACUGCUUUUGAAACUGUAUGACUAGAUUGCAGGAGAGGUAAGUGGAAUUCCUAGUGUAGCGGUGAAAUGCGUAGAUAUUAGGAGGAACACCAGUGGCGAAGGCGGCUUACUGGACUGUAAAUGACGCUGAGGCUCGAAAGCGUGGGGAGCAAACA